AUGUUUGGGAUCCAGGAGAGCAUCCAGCGAAGCGGCAGCAGCCUGAAGGAGGAGCCGCUGGGAGGCAUGAACGCUGUCCGGAGCUGGAUGCAGGGGGGCGGCGUGCUGGACGCCAACACGGCCUCCCAAAGUGGAGUGGGUCUGGCCCGGGCUCACUUUGAGAAGCAGCCGCCCUCCAACCUGCGUAAAUCCAACUUCUUCCACUUUGUCCUGGCUCUGUACGACCGGCAGGGUCAGCCAGUGGAGAUCGAGAGGACCAACUUCGUGGACUUCAUCGAGAAAGACAAGGAGACCAGCGGAGAGAAGACCAAUAACGGGAUUCAUUACCGGCUGCAGCUUCUUUACAGUAACGGCAUCAGAACGGAGCAGGACUUUUAUGUUCGACUUAUAGACUCCAUGACUAAACAGGCGAUUAUUUAUGAAGGCCAAGACAAGAACCCAGAGAUGUGCAGAGUGCUGCUGACACAUGAGAUCAUGUGCAGUCGGUGCUGUGACAAGAAGAGCUGCGGAAACCGUAAUGAGACACCCUCAGACCCUGUUAUCAUCGACAGAUUCUUUCUCAAGUUUUUCCUCAAGUGCAACCAGAACUGUCUAAAAAAUGCAGGAAACCCACGAGACAUGAGGAGGUUCCAGGUGGUGGUAUCGACUACGGUGAGCGUGGAGGGACAUGUCCUGUCAGUCUCCGACAACAUGUUCGUCCACAACAACUCCAAACAUGGCCGACGGGCCCGCAGACUCGACCCAGUGGAAGGAACGCCAUCUUACCUGGAACACGGAGCAGCUCCUUGCAUUAAAGCCAUCAGUCCUAGCGAGGGGUGGACUACGGGUGGCGCUACAGUCAUCAUCAUAGGAGACAAUUUCUUCGAUGGUCUCCAAGUCAUCUUCGGUACCAUGCUGGUUUGGAGCGAGUUGAUCACGCCACAUGCCAUCCGGGUGCAGACGCCUCCCAGACACAUCCCUGGCGUCGUUGAGGUCACUCUGUCUUACAAGUCCAAACAGUUCUGCAAAGGCACACCGGGAAGGUUCAUUUACACAGCACUAAAUGAGCCAACCAUCGACUACGGUUUCCAGAGGCUUCAGAAGGUCAUCCCUCGACACCCUGGAGACCCUGAGAGGCUGCCAAAGGAGGUCAUUUUAAAGAGAGCAGCCGACCUAGUGGAAGCCCUCUACGGUUUGCCCCAUAAUAACCAGGAGAUCAUCCUGAAGCGUGCGGCAGACAUUGCAGAAGCUCUCUACAGCGUUCCACGAGGACACACCCAGCUUUCCAGCUCCACCCACAGCGGCAUGAUGGGGGUCAACUCCUUCAGUGGGCAGCUGUCCGUCAACAUCUCUGAACCCCCUCAGGGCAAUCAGGGAUUUGUGCGCAGCAGCAGUAGCGUGUCCCCUCACGGUUACGUGCCCAGCUCCACGCCUCAGCAGACCAGUUACACAUCUGUCACAAGCACCAUGAACGGCUACACUAACAAUACCGGCAUGACCAACCUGGGAGGCUCGCCUACUUUCCUCAACGGCUCUGCAGCCAACUCGCCUUAUGCUAUUGUCCCAUCCAGUCCCACUAUGGCCUCCUCCACCUCUCUCCCCUCCAACUGCUCCUCCUCUUCUGGCGUCUUCUCGUUCUCUCCAGCCAACAUGGUGUCGGCGGCCGUUAAGCAGAAGUCCGCAUUCGCUCCAGUGGUCAGGCCCUCCUCCUCCCCUCCGCCCUCCUGUACCAACGCCAAUGGGCUCCACGAUCAAACAUUUGUGGACUCUAGCAAGUACUCAACAGCCAACUCUCUACAAGGCCUGGCCUUCACCUGAAGUAUGUCCCUCAACUAUCUCUUCCUUCAACUCUGUUGACUAAUUGCAUUUACAACUUUCGCAAUCCCGGGAAUGAUCGUCCCACCCAUGUAAAGGUGUGUGUGUGUGUGUGUGUGUGUGUGUGUGUGUGUGUGUGUGUGUGUGUGUGUGUGUGUGUGUGUGUGUGUGUGUGUGUGUGUGUGUGCGUGCGUGCGCGUGUGUGAGUGAGACGGUGUGCGAGAUGAACCAAGCACACUCAAACCGAUCCCGAUUGAGGAUUCCGGUGCGAGUCAGACUCCGGUCGGGGAUGGAAGCAACUGUCCUGAUCUGAAGGAACAAACCCAACUCAGGCCCUUUCUAACACAGAACAACUGCAAGAAAAACAGAUGAACAAAAACAAAGACUGUUUGCAAAGAAAUACGUUGUUUAGACUUUGUACACCUUGAUGCUUUUAUAGGAGAACGGCCACGCCUACAUUAUGACUCUCCACCGACACAGGAAGUGUAUUUAUUUUGGAGAGAAUCCACUUCUUCUCUUUAAUGAUUUUUUGUGCAACAGUUAACGUUUGAUAAUCAUCUUCUAACUGUAUCUCACAUGAGGGGUUUUCUAUUUAUGAAGUUUGGUCAUUGAUGAAGGAUUAUAAUGUGAAGAAUACCUGACGAUGAUGGUGAUGAUGAUGAUGAAGAGGCUUCAGGAUUCAUACCGGGUCAAAUCCAGCUGACACAGACAAGCCAAACCAGACACACACUUUCACUUCUUGUUGCCAAAUCACACCACGUCACUCUUUCAGUACAAGCACUCAGACAGCGAGGUCUUCCUCUGCAUUUAUCGAUUAGCUGAAGUACUGAGAUGCUUCCUGCCUGUGACUGAUGCUUCAGUUUUACCCAUUCAAGAAAUCCCCAUGUUUACUUUGAGCUUGCUUCAUAUACAUCUGCACUGCUGCUCCUAUGUGCUACAUUUUUGAGAAAGAGAUUCAAGAGAGAAAUUGGACAUGCGGCAGUUCUGAUUCAGGAUAGAUUUGACAAGCUAACUGUAAAAAGGCCAUACAUAAGUACAUGAGUGUGUGAUCACUGGGUGCCAACAGCAGCUUCCCUGUUAAGGAUUUGACCCAACAACUCUGCCACUGAGUCCGUCCAUCGGCCCUGUUACCACCUGAUCUGUUAUAAAGUCGGACACCGCCACAGCAACCUCUAUAAGAGGGCGAACAUGUCUUAAAGAUUGCUGCCAUUUAGACUAUGAUUUGUUGUGAGAGUUGCCUUCUCAAAUGUUUGUCUUAAUACAUAAAUCCUUAUUUCUGUUUUGUUUUUCUUUUGGUUUGCUGUGUUCUUUAAAUUCUUCCUGCCAUCUGCCAGCCAAUCAGAUUGUGUUUCUUUUGUUUCCUGCCCGCUUAUCCGGUGAGAUUGACUACUUGAGUGAGAAAAUGAUCCAAUGGUGUGUCUUAAAUGCUGCGCUGCAAAGAAUGUCAUUAAAUCUUCGACUGAGUCUUAAAAUUAAACUUUUUGAAAUUUUGUGAAACAUCUUACACUGAGGUUCACUUUUUUCAAAUCUGAACCUGGAAUUUAGUUUAUAUUUUUACAGUAGUACUGUAUUUAAAAGUACACCAUUUCACCAUAUUUGCAUCCCAUUUUGCACUUGUUUUCUUAAAAGGUAAAGAUAAAGUGUGAAAUUUCAUAUCUUUGAAAAAAAGGACUUUAUUGCAGCGCAGAACAAUUAGCCAGCGACAUGUCUUAAAUGCAGUGUGCAAGAAUGAGAAAAGUAGCUGAUUUGUUGUGAAAGUCACUGUUCUCUCAGCCCUGCAGUGUGUGGUUCAAUAGUCUUAAUUCAUUUCUGAUUAUAUUAAUUUUGCCAAAGCGCUUAUUUGAGAAAUGAAUGCCUAAACAGUCUUAUGCCACAGUUUCUAUGCUAUUUGUGUUUUUUGUCACACACAGUCAGAAACUGUGUAAGAAUGCCAUACUGUGUACAACUGUCAGUUGUACAUCAUUUGAGUCGAACCACCUCCUUAGCCAGUCAGUAAGACUUAGGGUCUGUCAUGAAAGCAGUAAUCAAAAAAUGGGAUGAAUUAUUAGGGACGUUAUCAAGUAUUUGAAAAAAGACAUUACAAAAACAUUUCUAAUUUCAG